rnacentral:lncRNA from 1 species
AUGGUCACUGAUCCUGGGAACUCUAUCCUUUAUUUGCAGGGCAAGGAAGGUAGCCAUCUGACUUGGCAGAGAAUGCAAUGUGUUUAGAUCUGAGGAGUGGAAAGAAGGGAGAGGCGUAUUUGCCAGGGGAGUGACCGAUGUCCCAGAAACCUCUUUGUCAUGGAUACAGAUUACUGAAGACAGCAUAGCACUGAAUUAGAAGGGAAAGGGUCUUGAGUUUCCAGUAUGUUCAAGUAUAUAACCUUUUGUAAGACAUUUGAUUAUCUGUGAAUUUAUUUAUCGCAAGUGAGUCUACUACUACCCUACGGGAGUCUACCAUACACCAGUGUCAAGCCGUCACAGCCUUGAAGUAUUUCUAUCAAGCAUUGAGUGUUUUUCAAGAGGAAGUGGACAGAAAGAAUGCAAAAGUCAUUGGCCUCUGUUAGACCAGUGGCUCUCAAAGUGUGUUCCCUGGAUCAGUGGUGUCAGAACCAACCGGAAACUUGUUGGAAUCAUGAAGAAGAUUCAGAACAUUAACAGGAAGAAUGAAGAUUAUUGAAGGUAGCAAUGUAUGGAAUUUCAAGGUUUGGGAAUUCUAAGAUGAAUUGGUUAAGCAUGGAAGGUACUUACAAGGAAGUCAGGGAAAUGAAGCUGGAAGUUCAUUUAUGUUUUACCACUUUUUCAGGUUUCUCCUAUUCCUACAUUUACAAAAUGUGUAAGAAUUCCCAAUUGGACCCUUCAAUAAACCAACAUGAAACAAUAAAAUGGACUAGAAAUCUC